ACAAUCAGGAAAACAACAUUCAACAGGAUAAUAUAAAAUUUACAUAAAAUCAUUACUUUUCCACUUCAUGCUUAAGAAAAUUACUUAUUUACAAUUUGAUACCACGCGUAGCUAUUAAGUGUCAAGAGGCCUUUUCAGCCAAGGGAUAGUCAGAAAGUGAUGGUAAGCAUAAUUAGGUGUCGUGUAAAUGGCAUCCGUCUCAUCUCUGAGGAACACAAGACUCGAGGAGCAGGUGGUAGUGAAGCAUCGUUAUACUUAUGGAGAGAUCCUCAAUGGUAUGAAAGCAAUCAGAUAGAUAUAUGAUAGUUAUCUUGGAUUGCAUGCCAAUAAAUUUGUUAUGAGAUAGUCGAGUUUCCUGCCGAUCAAUAAUUCAAUAAUCCAAAGGAGUUUUAAAAGCACCAUGAUUCCUCUGUGUUUCACUCUGGUGGAAUGUUGAAGAUGAACGCUCUAAAAUUUCUGGUGAUUCUCUCCCUGCUUCUGACUGUAGUCGCUGGACGGAGCAGGAGGGGAUGCAGUGAUUGGGGCAUUGCCAUGGGCUGCCAUGAGAAAUUCAAGCAAGACGCCGGCAUUUCGCGGGUGCGCAAAGAGGAAUGGCGAGGAAUUCCUGCAACAUUUCAGGACCAAGAUGAAGGAGACAUUCCAGACGACAGCAACAAUGCAUGGAAUGCGAUGGAUUUGGAAAUGAAGAACAGAAAGAGGGCAUCUGGAUACAAAGGUUUCAAGGCUUAUUUAGAGGACUUUGAUCAAUAAACAAGGAUUAAAAGCCAAGACACGAUAUUUUGCAGAUUUUAGAAAUAUUACUUAUUGUAAAAUUCUAGUAACAUAAUAGUGCCUGAAAUCUGUUUUGUUGUUGUUAUUUUUUUGUUUUUUAGUUGUCUAAAUUAAAAACUGUGGUCAACUUUAAACGCAAUAAAAAGUGGUGAACUAAGCAAAUGCACAGUAAUCAAUUAGUUCCUUGACAUCGAUUAAAAAAAACAUCAAACGAUAGAUCCAACCAAACACCAAUCAGUAGCACACUGCAUGUUUUAGAGAAAACACUCUGCUAUCUGAACAAGGAUAGCAGAGAGAUAGCACAGAUAUUAUUAUUAUUAUUAUUUUGGUGGGAGGGGGAUGUUGGGUAAUUUUCUUGGGAAUGAUUUUUUUCUUGUUUUCCUUGGCAAUAGCUCGUGCAAGAAUUUGUUUUCACAUUUAAAAUCAAAAUAAUGAUAGCAGAAAGCGCUUGCUUAAUUUUUGUUCCCAUGGCUCCCCUUGCACGAUUUUGUUUUUCAGCAUUUUUUUUUUCUGUGCAGGAAUUUUUGUUUGGGAAAUUCCCAAUCCCUCCCCUCCACCCCCUCAAAAAAAUAAUGGUCUGUCUCUAAAUACGUAAGGUCCGAGAAUAUUUUUUUAAGCAAACGUGUUAUAUAUGUCUGUCAUUCAUACCUUCCUAAUCUUCUCAUGAUUCUCUAGAAGAGAAGACGUUUUGGAUUUAAUAAUCUCCAUUGUGAGUAGGUAUUUGAAUAUUUUACCACUAUACACUGCAUCAAAAGUUAAACUUAGCAUUAGUUUCAACCAAAUGAAACUACAGUAUGUAAGCUCACUAUUGAAGAAGAUAUCACUUUUCACGCAAGAUUGAAAAUUUGUAGCACAUUCGUUUUUUACAACGAUAGCGAUUCUCCGAGAUUCUUAUUAACAAGGUAUAUAGCUUCCGGGAGAAUUUCUUGAUGUUUCGACAGUUUUUGAAGGGAACAUGUCGCAGCGGGACUCAGCUAAGGCGAAACAGCUUUUACUUUCAAGCCAUGCAACGAAAAAACAGUUGAGUUCUAAAUGUCUUUUUCAAUAGGCUUAAUCCAGGUUUGAAACACACAAUGUAUCUGGAAAAAGAAUCAAAACUAAAUCAUGUCUGAAGGAAGUUGCGUGCUAAAAUGCUCAUAAAAGUCGUUAAAAAUGGCAUUUUCUCUAAGCAAUUGGCAAUAUCAAUUGGUCUAGGACUGAAGUGAAUUAAAUUUGCGGUUUUCUUGAAACUUCUUUAAAGUGGAUUUUUGUAUGUUUAGACUAACAAAUGAUAGUUUCUUUUGUUUAGCAGAUACUUAUAUACCGAGCAAAUCCUACAACAGCUGUUUUGUAACCAAAUUAGUACGUUUUUUGCGUUAAGGCUGAAAUGGAGAAUACGAGAAAAGAAUUGUUAAGUCACGGACACACUAUUCCAAGAACGUAUAACUCACGUAACAGAAAUAUAACAAACUGUGUCAUGUUCCUCGUAAAACCGCAAGAUAUUUCAUUGUCUGAUUUAACAUCAUUAAAUUGAAAGGUGUGCAUGUACUUUCUAUGUUAAUUAAUUAAUGGCUUGCUUUUUAAUAACAUCAAUGAAGAUAUAUGCAUAUUGAGUUUCUUAUGACUAUAGCAAUUUUAUAGCUUUUAAGCUGAUAUCCAGCAAAAUAAAUCCCCCAUUAUCUGGAUCUGUGGUAAUUUUGGUCUACAUGAAUCACAACUUGAUAGGAACGUCUAUGCUAGAUCUCGCUGCCCCGCACAUGAUCGAUGAUGCUUCAUUCACCAUUCAGGGUGUUAUUUAGCCUUACAGCGGUCUCAUAGUCAUUUACCUUAUUAGGAAUGACACAAGCUAACAAGGUUAAAAUCAUCACGGUCGUAUAAAAUUCGGCUCCAGUAGGUCACGAAUUUGUGUUCAAGUUAAUUAGAACAAGACACAUCACACAAGGAUCAAUGGUGGUUACAUUUAAGGGCGAAAUUUCCCUUCAUGCAUGGUAAUUAUCUUUGUUGUUAGACGCUUACAGCGUCUUAUAAGUAAGGAACUCUUAAUUUUUAACUGCACGAUAGAGAUCAACAGUAGAUAAAUCUUUCUAUUCUUUAAACAUAAAUUUAUCUCUUUCUUUGUGUCGACCCAUCUCCUCGUUAACUCGGAAUACAAUACAAGUUUCAGACAAAGUUAACAAACGUACUUUCUUGAUCUAGGAACCGUCAACAAUGUCGCUUUGCGGAGACAAUGAUUUACCUAAAGGUAAUCUAAUAACGCCGAAACAAUCAGGAAAACAACAUUCAACAGGAUAAUAUGAAAUUUACAUAAAAUCAUUAAUUUUCCACUCCAUUCUUCAGAAAAUAACUUAUUUACAAUUUGAUACCACGCGUAGCUAUUAAGUGUCAAGAGGCCUUUUCAGCCGAGGGAUAGUCAGAAAGUGAUGGUAAGCAUAGUAAGGUGUCGUGUAAACGGCAUCCGUCUCAUCUCUGAGGAACACAAGACUCGGGGAGCAGGUAGUAGUGAAGCACCAUUAUACUUGUGGAGCGAUCCUCAAUGGUAUGAAAGCAAUCAGUAAGAUAUGAUAAGUUAAUUUGGUUUUAUCAACUGGGUUGAUAAAGUGAAUUGGCCACCGUAAAGAGAUUCGAAUCUCUUUCCGGUGGCCAAUUCACAUUGUCAACCCAGUUGAUAAAACCAGAUUAUCUUGUUGUACAGUUUCUUCAGAAACUUACCCGCUCUAUUCAUUUGUAGUAAGAUAUGAUAGUUAUCUUGGAUUACAUGCCAAUAAAGCCGAGUUUCCUGGCGAUCACUAAUUCAAUAAUCCAAAGUAGAUUUAAAAGCACCAUGGCUCCCCUGUAUUUCACUCUGGCGGAAUUUUGAAGAUGAACGCUCUAAAAUCUGUGGUGAUUCUCUCCCUGCUUGUGACUGUAAUCGCUGGACGGAGCAUGAGGAGAUGCAAAUGGGGCUCUGCCUUGGGCUGCCGCGAGCCCAGACCAGAGCAGGACGCCGGUAUUUCGCGGGUACUCAAAGAGGAAUGGCGAGGAAUUCCGGCAACCUUUCAGGACCAAGAUGAAGGAGACAUUCCAGACGACAGCAACAAUGCAAUGGAUUCAUUGGAAAUGAAGAACGGAAAGAGGGCAUUUGGAUACAAAAGUUUCAAGGCUUUUUUAGAGGACUUGGAUCAAUAACAAGGAUUAAACCCCAGACGCAAUACUUUGCAGAUUUUAAAAAUAGUACUUAUUGUGAAACUCUAGCAACAUAAUGGUGCAUUCAGUUUUGUUUUUGUUUGUUUGUUUUUCAAUUGGCAUAAAUUAAAAACUGUAGUCAACUUUCAAGCAAUAGAAGCUGUUGAACUAAGUUCUUGCACGUAAUCGAACUUGUUCCUUGACAUUCUCAAACUCACUAAUAAUUAAUAUUCAUCAAGUUAAUUAGGGGGAAUAUCAUUAAAUAGAGAUUAAUGUCAUUUGCAUGAAAAGAACUCCCCGUACUAGGCUCAGUUGCAAGCUAGUUACAGUCCAAUACUAAGAAUAUAAUAAGUCAAGUUGUUCUUUCAUUUUGAUUAGGUCUUACUUACGAUCUAUUGGAAGACAGACCCAUAAAUGACGUCAUUAACAAUUUCUUUGAUUUCUCCAUUAUAUUGUUUUGCGUCUGUUCAGUAAUAUAGACGACAGAAGACGUCAAAAUGUGCUAAGAACGGCUUGUCCGCAGCUUCUUUGUUCUUACCACAUUUUGACGUCAUCUGUGAUCUAUUACUGAAAAGACGCACGGAAACAUGGAAUCUAUUUGUUAAAUAGCAAAGCAGUGGGUAGUGUUUUUCAUGCAUUCUGAUUGGUAUGUGCUAUUCACCUACCAGCAGCCCCUCCCAGCUCGCAAGAGUCGUAAGCACAAAGAAAACUACAAGAUUUCACUUGUCAGUAUUUACAAUUACCAUAUGGUUUUUGUUUGCAGCCGAUAUGGCGCACAUUCUGAUUGGCUAACUCUAGGUCAUUAUUCUCCCGUAAUGCCGAUUACGUGCCUGCAAAUACAAAGCCUUAUAGUAAUCAACUUAUGAACCUCGACCGUUCGAUCGUUACGGGAAAAUCUCAAUCCUCGGCCUUGUCAUCUUGACUUCGCCAUGCUCGGUCAAUACGGCAAGGUCGCGGUUUGAGACUUUCCCUUGAAGACCUCACUCUCGGUUAAUAAUUAGUUAGUACAGUUGUAAUAUAUUAAGCCGUGAUGUUAUCGACGAAAUCAACACACAACUAUCUGUUAAAAAACACAGUUUACAACAACUUCAACAAAGCAGCUUUAGUGUUUCUGUUUACUGUUUCGUGCCCAGUCGAGGGUGGCCGUUGUUGUUCUGCGCAAACGACCGUUGUUUCGUUGAGAAGCGGCUCUUCCAACGCUCAGCCAACAUGGAGCGACUAACUUCCUCAUCACCAAGAGACAUUAACCAAAAAUAUUCAUGACUCAACCAAACACCGAAAAAAUCUUCAAAGACAAAUGUCCAAAUGUUUUUGUUUUUAGUGGCCAAUGCGCUUAACUAUACUUAGCUAGUUCACAGGCAUGCCACUUAAACUGUGCUACCAAUCAGUAUUACACUGCAUGUUAAAGGUAAAGUCUGCUGGGCGUUGUCAUUGUUCCCGUAAUAUGUGUAUAUGUUUUUGUUUUUUUUUGGCAAUGUGAUAUAUAUUUAUGUCAGGAUACAUAUUUCUAUCAUGAUUCUGGAAAGCGCAUUUCUAAUUAAGUUGAUAAAUGCAAUUUUAAGAAACUGCACCAAAGUUACUCAGCGGACAUGACCUUAGUAAGAUCACCUUAACAGAGAGAAACUUUCUUAACUCUUUAUUCUAUAAGAUAAGAAAUUGAUAAAUUGAUAAUUCCUCAUUCCCACUUUAAUGAGAAUUUUGGUGAUACGAUACCGCCUACUGUCAUUAAGUAUUGUUUUAAGGGACUUUGCGGGCCUUUUCAGGAACAAAGAAAACUAAGAUGAAAAGAAAAGCUUCUAAAACCAGGUGAAAUUUAAAAACCUUCACAUGCGCAAGGAUCCUUAACAAAAGCAAUCAGAAAUGUGCUUAUUGCACAAAAGCGUUGCGGGUUUUUUCACGAUCCACAAAAGAUAUACCUGUAUCAAAAAUUCCGAAAAAAAAUUAAUCGACUCUCAAUUUUAAAAGAAUAUCGUAACAGUACAAAGACGAAAAAAGACAGAUAUAAUUCAAAGAAG